AUUGCCUUCGAAUAACCAGAAGGUGGACUAAAUGAUUACACCGUUUGGUUCAGACAGAGGCACAUAAUAAUUAAUCCUGAUCAGUUUGAGGGUAAGGAAACUUUAUUUAUGUAUUCCUUUCUUAGAUUGAUUUGGACAUUC